CUGUCCAGUGCGUGUCGGAGAGUAAUUUCAUGUUAGUGACAUCAUACUACUGUCAUGGAGUUGCUCUCUUAUUAGCGCUGAGGCCA
rnacentral:pre_miRNA from 1 species